UGGGGAAUAUUGGGCAAUGGGCGCAAGCCUGACCCAGCGACGCCGCGUGGGGAAGAAGUCUUUCGGGACGUAAACCCAUGUUGUACGGGACGAAGGAAGUGACGGUACCGUACGAGGAAGCCCCGGCAAACUACGUGCCAGCAGCCGCGGUAAUACGUAGGGGGCGAGCGUUGUCCGGAAUCACUGGGCGUAAAGCGCACGUAGGCGGGCUGUUAAGUCGGCCGUGAAAUACACUGGCUCAACCGGUGCAGGUCGGUCGAUACUGGCGGUCUGGAGUAUGGGAGAGGGAACUGGAAUUCCCGGUGUAGCGGUGAAGUGCGUAGAUAUCGGGAGGAACACCAGUGGCGAAGGCGGGUUCCUGGCCCAUGACUGACGCUGAGGUGCGAAAGCCGGGGAGCGAACGGGAUUAGAUACCCCGGUAGUCCCGGCUGUAAACGAUGGAUGCUAGGUGUGGGGAGGUUCCUCUCUGUGCCGCAGCUAACGCGAUAAGCAUCCCGCCUGGGGGAGUACGAUCG
rnacentral:rRNA from 1 species